CGGAUAUUGCGUAGCUCUCUUUGUGAAUAGCAAAAGUUACGUAGUGAAGGAAAGCCGAGGCGCCAUUGAAUUUUUCCGUUCAGUUUUUUCGUCUUUUUUGAGCUGGCAAAAUGAGUUGUUCUGCAGUAAACUGUUCUAACCGACCUGUUGGAGCUAAGGGAUCUUUGCAGUUUUUUUGGUAAGUAAAAAAGUGUGAUUUAUGUGUCAUUGGUUGGUUAAAGUCGUUAUCUAGCUAGCUAACACAUAAGCAGUCUAAGGUUAGCUGAAAUGUUGUAAAGCUAGGUUACUUAUCCGGCAUGAUUUAUCUUUUUAUUUUAUUUUUUAAAAUGAGCAAACCUAAUAACUGACAUGUUAUGUUUCUUGAUAUUGUUAUAUCGUUAUUGUGAUUGAAAUUGUAUUUAAAACCAAGAAUCGUAAUAUAAAAUCUGCUCAUAGAUGCGGUUCAUUGACUGUACAGUUAUUUUACAGCAAAAAUAAAUAAGUCUGGUGAGGUCUUAAAAAAGUAUCUAGGGCAAAAACAAAGUCAAAUAAUUGUAAUCUGUCCUGCAUCAUUACUAAUGUGUACAUGUUUACAGUCUGAGUGAUAAGUGGGCUAUACCGAGAGUAACAGGUUUUACUUUCACCGUGCAGGCUGAAAUUCAUAGGACUAUAUACGAGGGUAGAAUAUUUCUCUAUGUAUCCAGAUAAAACUAAAGGUGACCAUGAUGCAGCCAGACUGAAGCAGCACGUUGUGAAGGUGGACGCCAUCAUCUUGUCUUUGCAGCGCUGAUUCUGAAGAGAACGCCUUCACAUAGGACUCAAAGGAAAUCAGUGCUCAAAGGAAACAGCAGUCCAGACUCUGAUUCCAGCUCUGGUGAGGUUCUGCACACA